ensembl:lncRNA
CUCUAUCUUCUGUACUUAAAACAGCUUCCCCCAACGUGGGGAUCAAACCCACGACCCGGAGAUUAAGAGUCUCAUGCUCUAUCGACUGAGCUAGCCAGGCUACACCUGCAAACCAUUACCAACACUUUCCAAGCGCACUAAGAUCCACAUGGCUCCAAGUGAUGUAAAUUUGUGAGAGGGAAGGUCUGUGCAGACAUCCCUGUGCCCAUCAGUUUUUCUGAGUGUGCAGACUUGUCUGCGGAGACUUUACAUUAUACCCUUACAACUGUGCAAGUGCCCCAGGCAGCAGAUAUACACCAGGAUUAACUACAACAUCCUUCAUGUCUCCAGUUGUCCUUGCCAGUGUCCACAACAGAUUGUAAUCAAAGGUUAAGUCAUCAAGAUAUGGUUGAAGGAUUCCUAGAUUGUAUAGUUUUUCACAAAAUAAAUAUUACCACAGUUUGUGAAGUCUACAAACUCAGAUAUGUGCUGAGUUUUGAUCCUUACUGGCUUCUUAAUGUUUAAAAAUGCUAAUCAAUGCAUUUAAAAAAGAAAAAAAAACUUGGAACAGAAAAGGAAAAAUAAGAAACUGUCUUUUAACUGUCCAAACAAACAUGACAGCAUAUCUUCAGAGCAGAAAACGACAUCUUGUUUAAGCACACUUGAGAGGUGACCAUGACCCACGUUGAAGGGUUUUCAGUGCAGGAUAAGUAGUUGAAGGACAAAAAAACAGCCUGUUACUUUCAGCGAUUAUCAUUAAACAGAGACACACGGAAAACGCCAACUUCUUUAGUUUCAGACCAUUUAAAGGACACUCCGCUGUAGCAACAUUUCCACCAUUUGCUCCCUGUGAGGCUAAGCUCCAGCAGCAACAAGCCAGCGUUGUGAAGAGUGUUUCCUUGAGGAAACACAGUCUAAUCUUCAGCGCACAGGCACUGUGAUGUGGAAGGGAGUGACCUGAGCGAGCUACUUAACAUCCGUCCCCACAGCAGCUUUUUAAUCUGUUUUUCAUGUUGUCAUGCCAUCUUCCUCGAGCAGAACUAAUUGGUUGUUUUCGCCUGUUAUGCAGGAGCCAACAUAGAAAAAAAAAAUCACUGAAGGACACUUGUAACAACUUGAACGCACACUCACAGGACACGGAUGCGAUCGCAGGUGCAGACAAGUCCAAGUGGGAAUUGCUUGACUCAGUUCGACAAGUAAGGGUCCUAAUAAAAGCAUUUAGUGAACUCUUAGCUUAUCACACACACACACAAAAUGCCCCCCGCCCCCUUCCCGGUCUGCCUCCCCGUCUGAUUUGCAUUUUGGUUAACACUCUAAUUGCCUCUCAUUAAAUACCUUGUCACUUUGAUUAAUUGGUGUGAUACAGAAAUGUAAAACAGCAGAGCGGUACAAUGCAUAGUGAACAGUUUCUGAUUGGAAAAGACGAACAAGCCCAUCUAAAAAAAAAAAAAAAAAAAAAAAAAGCACCGGGACAAUAAACAAAGUAAGUAAGUUUUUUUUAAAGAAUCUGAUUUAUCCUGAGCUUCUCCUUCUGAAAAAAGGCCGUGCUCUAAAUGUUUCAAACCUGAAUUGUUUCUGGUUUGGAUCAGUGCAACAAUACACAUUCAUCUCUCCAUGGACAGCUAUUAAGGUGACUAUAAGCAUGUUAAGGUGCCCUUGAGCGCAUCCCCAGCUGCUACAGUUGGUCACAAGCCAAAACAAUUGGCCUGAGUUGAUAGGAGUAAGCCAUUAAAAACAUGCUUGCCAUUUCUAAACAAUCAAACAUAAAGUUUCCUUUUGUUAGUUGCUUAGACUGAAUUAAUGAUAAUAAAGAUGGUGGAACAGUUGAUAGUUGGGUGAUAAGUUUGACUUUAACACACUCUGCAGUCACUCAGUGAGAAAGUGUGAGCCUGCUUUCAUUACCUGACCACAAAGGCUAAGAUCACUGAAAAAAUUCCUGCUGUGACAGAGAAACAGAAAAUACCUUGGAGCCAAAAUAUGAGGACCACUCAUCCAAACGCCUUCACCCUCGCCAGCACACUUACCAAGUGUGAAGUAGAUUGCAUGAACAGUGCAUGGUGAAGGACAGACACACAAACGCACAGGGA